rnacentral:rRNA from 1 species
CGUAGGGUCCGAGCGUUGUCCGGAAUUAUUGGGCGUAAAGGGCUUGUAGGCGGUUUGUCACGUCGGAAGUGAAAACUCAGGGCUUAACCCUGAGCCUGCUUCCGAUACGGGCAAACUAGAGGAAUGCAGGGGAGAAUGGAAUUCCUGGUGGAGCGGUGGAAUGCGCAGAUAUCAGGAGGAACACCGGUGGCGAAGGCGGUUCUCUGGGCAUUUCCUGACGCUGAGAAGCGAAAGCGUGGGGAGCAAACAGGCUUAGAUACCCUGGUAGUCCACGCCGUAAACGGUGGGCACUAGGUGUGGGGAACAUUCCACGUUCUCCGUGCCGAAGCUAACGCAUUAAGUGCCCCGCCUGGGGAGUACGGCCGCAAGGCUA